GUAUGUUUUCACAGCCUCAGCCCCCCCCCCCACACACACACACAAACAAAGAGGCGUUAGGCUGAGACGCUGAAAGUCCGGAUUUAAAGUGCAGAAAAUUAAGCCAUUGAAUCUGCCUGUCCAUGACGUACAAAGACACACUAUGAGCCGGUAUGAUCCGACCAGACCUUACAUCAGCAUUGAGGAGUUGUCGGAGAAGAAAGAGGCUGAUUGAAGCGGGACAGAUGACAUGGAUCCAUCCUUCCACAGCCAGGAGUGCACCGACCUGUGUCCCACACUUCAUAUAAGACUGGAAGCUACACUGGAUCUCACAGCUACACACCACAGACGUCUACACACUGGAGAAGAGUCCCACAAAGAAGUCAUGACCCAGAGGCUGCAGAGAAACAUUUCAAGCCUCACCUGAGAUUUUGUACAAUAUUUUUGCUGUAUGUAAAUAAAGCUUUCACUCCACAUA